CCUUAGCCCCGAUUGGAGCGGCAUCCUUUUAAAUUGUCACAUUUCGACUCCGCUUAAUAUGACAAUUUAAAAGAUAGAGCGAAAAGCGGGACCAUGG
rnacentral:sRNA from 1 species